GCUUUGUCUAGCUGCCAAUAGCAGCUUCUCAGCAGUCCUUGCAGACUGGCUGCUAUCAAGCUCCAAGUGAUGAUGUACUAUAGCAUCUUCACCAAAAUUUGCUAAUUGUUGAGGUGACGUUUCCUUCAACUUUUCCAGGUCAAAGUUGGAGCCAAGUUCAGACAAUCUAUUUUGAGUUAAAGCCAGUUCACUAGUUGCAUCCUUAAAAGCAGAAAGUAGAACUUUAAGAUCCCUUUCCAACGAUUGUAUAGUAUUUUCCUGCGCUAGCCUACCAACUUCUGCAUCUCUGACCUUUUGCUUAAGAGAUUCUGUCAGUUCAAUCACAGGUAGAGCUAUGCUUUUUGUCAACUCCAGUUUCCUAAGUAUGGCUUUGAUCAAAU
rnacentral:misc_RNA from 1 species